CUUUUCCAUUGAAGUCACUGUUUCUGCUCUAUUCUCAAGAGCUCAGCGAGGUGGGAGCAGAUGCAGGAGUUCGUCUGAAGCUGAGAUAGUUCUUAAGAAGUAGACUUUUGCAAGAGAGUACUGAUUGGGUUCAGAUAAAGAGCAAAAGGAAUUUUUAGGUGAUACAAAGUUUCUGUGCUGGAUGCUCACAUGCAUCACAAAUGUGUUUGUGCAUAAACUUGUGUAUAAUCAUGAAGGACAAGAACUGAGAUGGAUCUCCCUGAUGUGCAGAAGUGAACAGCAGAGAUCCGUCAUGAACACAGACAGGGACUGGGAACGGGGACAGAGCUGGCUCGCAUCAACACAGGGCUUGGCCGUGUUCAAGGAAUUUCUCUCUUGUAAGGUAUUACUUACAAAGUUCCACAAAACAGCGGCCAAAUCAAUUCAUCCCUUAAGAGUCUUCAAUUCCUGUUACACACACCUGUUCCGGCUGAUCCAGGGAUGAAGGAGGGAUUGCAUUUGGAGGAGGAGAACAAGACUAAGUAGGUGUGUCUGCAGAGACUAAGCCCAGACAUUAAUGAGAAUAAGAUGGACUAUGAGAAAGAAACUCUGUCAUAUACACACUAAUGCUCAAAAGUUUGGGGUCGCUGCAUUAAUUAAUGUUUCUAUUCAGCAAAGAGGCAUUACAUUAAUCAAAAGUGACAGUAAAGACGUUUAUAAUGUUAAAACAGAUUAUUAUAUAAAUAUUGUUCUUUUGAACUUUCUAUUCAUCUGUGAAUCCUGAAAAAUAAUCAGUUUACACACAAAUAUUGUGCAGCACAACUGUGUUCAACAUUGAUAAUAAUCAGAAAUGUUUCUUGAGCAGCAAAUCAUCAUAUUAGAAUGAUUUCUGAAGAUCAUGUGACACUGAAGACUGGAGUAAUGAUGCUGAAAAUACAGCUGCGCAUCACAGAAAUAAAUUACACUUUAACAGAGAUUCA
ensembl:lncRNA